UCUACGGGAGGCAGCAGUGGGGAAUAUUGGGCAAUGGGCGCAAGCCUGACCCAGCAACGCCGCGUGAAGGAAGAAGGCUUUCGGGUUGUAAACUUCUUUUCUCAGGGACGAAACAAGUGACGGUACCUGAUGAAUAAGCCACGGCUAACUACGUGCCAGCAGCCGCGGUAAUACGUAGGUGGCAAGCGUUAUCCGGAUUUACUGGGUUUAAAGGGCGUGUAGGCGGGGACGCAAGUCAGAUGUGAAAUCCACGGGCUCAACCUGUGGACUGCAUUUGAAACUGUGUUUCUUGAGUACUGGAGAGGCAGACGGAAUUCCUGGUGUAGCGGUGAAAUGCGUAGAUAUUAGGAGGAACCCCGGUGGCGAAGGCGGUCUGCUGAACAGCAACUGACGCUGAGGCGCGAAAGCGUGGGGAGCAAACAGGAUUAGAUACCCUUGUAGUC
rnacentral:rRNA from 1 species